UGUCACCCUGCAGGUGCCCGGGUAUGGGCGGAGCCACUGCCUGCUCCUGACAGAGCCAAGGCUCACCUGCCGCCUAGUCCGGCCAGAGUCUAUAAAACACCUCUCAGACACCCACUCUUCAACCACCCUAAACCUCCAGCACUAACUCAUCCACUUCUGGAUCUGACAGGGUUACUUGAACUUCCACUUAGAUGUCCUGCCAGCAAGACCAGCGGCUGUGCCAGCCUCCUCUGAAAGGGCUCACGACUGAGUGCCCCCCAAAGUGUCCCCCUAAGAGUCCUCCCAAGACACCCUGCUCCAGUUUCUUCCUGGUGAGGCCCUAGCCCCAGGGCCUUGUGGCCUCAGGAGUCCAAGGCAUCAGAGCUCCAGCUGUUAUCCCCACUUUUGGCUGCUUUCUACCUGGGCUCUGAGCAUCAGUUGAGGGACCAAAAGGCCAACAAGAACCAGCAUGUCUUGUGCUUCUUGUCUCCCAGCCCUUUUUUAUCCCGCUGAGUGUCAACUGCAGGACAUGAGCAUGCUGGAGCUAUGCCUUGGGAAUAGCCAUUGGCACAACUUUGGGACUGGGCUCAAGACUUGCAUCCUGAUACUUGGAUGUGAUUGCUCUGAAUGAGCUACUUUGCUACAAUAAAUAUCUUUAAAACGCC